rnacentral:rRNA from 1 species
CGCGUAGGCGGUCUUGUCAGUCAGAUGUGAAAGCCCGGGGCUCAACCCCGGAAGUGCAUUUGAAACUAUGAGACUUGAGUAUGGGAGAGGGAAGUGGAAUUCCCGGUGUAGAGGUGAAAUUCGUAGAUAUCAGGAGGAACACCGGUGGCGAAGGCGACUUCCUGGACCAAUACUGACGCUAAGGCGCGAAGGCGUGGGGAGCAAACA